CCCGCCCCACUGACGUCGGUAUGUCCAGACGUCCGUGGCGUCUCCCUGAUAGAGACGCACACUAGGAGCUAUUUAAACCCUGCUCCAGCGAUGCAAUUUGCACCGGAGCCAGGUCCCAGGACAUAAGUCUACUAUCAAAUAUAGAAAGCUUGUCUUUUGGUUACCCCCUCGGACUGGUGACUGAUUGAUUACCAGUCCUCUGCAUUGGCCACUCAUUCUGUGGCCAUCUCUGCAAGCAUCCACAUACGCUGCAUACAGGAUUCCUAUGUCCUGGGACCCAUUACCCUCUUUAGCAACUUAUGCCCGUCUGGGCACACAGGUCUGUUCUAUUAGACUUGGUCUUGGUCCACGAGUGACCUACCCACUCACCGUCCAACUGGGAACCCUCCCCCCUUUCUCUCUGGGGCCAAGGAACUCUGUGCCUGCAGGACUUAGUAACAGAAGUCGGUGAUGACAAAAAAUCCUGUGAGUUGGACAGAAGUCUGAUGGAGACCCAAGAGCUGUGCUGUGACUCUAAUGUCUAUACAAGACUAAACAAGUUUGGAACCCCAGAAUUUUUCUCUGGAGACUGGAAACUGAAGAAAGACUGCCGUGUACUAGAAGACCGGAACUGGCAGGGUGGAGCUUCAAAUGCGGUACAGUACAUGGCUGGAGAUACGAGUUUGCAUGUGAAUAGCAGGGGUAAUUGCUGGCUAAUGGGGGAGAAACUCGGAAUGGACAAUAUCACUAUACAAGAAAUUAUAAAGAAUUCAUGGACACUGUCUCAAUAUUCAUCAAGCAAUGGACCUUUUUUUUUGAACAUUCACUUUUUUUUUUCUCUUCAUUUUUGUAUUAUUAUUUUUUUUCAAUGGACUUACCCAAUGCCCUAUUUUUUUUUCAUUUUCUCCCUUUCCCUGGUAUAUUUUGCUUUCUUAUUAUGUUUUAUUCAUGUUUUAUUCCUUGAACUUAAUCUUAAAACCAGAGCGAAGCAUUUAAACCUAAAAUUAUCUUAUAACAUCUGUACAUAUGACAUAAUGCAUUUUGAUAUCAAUAGAUUUGACCUCUGGGGUGAUGCUGCACAGUGGCUGGGCAUAGCAUACAUUAUAGUAGGUUGGGUGGUUUUCCUAAAUUUAUAAGAGGGGUGAGUGAAAUUCAUCACUCUAGUCAUGAUUUGAAACAUGUUGAAUCAGUUGUUUAUAAUAUGCUGAAGGCUGUGACAUAUAUGGAUGAAAAAGACCUUUCUACCUUUCAUAAAAAAUCGUGGCAAGAAUUUCCACUGCCGAUUUGUCUGCACAGAAGAUCUGAUAAACACUGAUGUCAAGCU